rnacentral:tRNA from 1 species
GCGCGUGUAGCUCAGCGGCGAGAGCGCUGGUCCCACACACCAGAUGUCGAAGGUUCGAGUCCUUCCACGCGCA